GCCGGGCGUGAUGGCUCAUGCCUGUAAUCCCAGCACUUUGGGAGGCUGAGGUGGGUGAAUUACCUGAGGUCAGGAGUUCAAGACUAGCCUGGCCAACAUGGCGAAACCCCAUCUCUA
rnacentral:SRP_RNA from 1 species